GUUUGAUUAUGACAAACCCACACUUAACUGCUCAGAAUCAUCUGUUAUCAGAAUCAUCUAACAUUAAAAAACAAAGAACAAAUAU
rnacentral:pre_miRNA from 1 species